GGUCUCAUGGUGUAAUGGUCAGUACUCUGGACUUUGAAUCCAGCGAUCCGAGUUCGAAUCUCGGUGAGACCU
rnacentral:tRNA from 1 species